GACGAACGCUGGCGGCGUGCCUAACACAUGCAAGUCGAACGAAUCAGAUUGAGAGCUUGCUCUUGGUUUGGUUAGUGGCGGACGGGUGAGUAACGCGUGAGUAACCUGCCUUUCAGAGGGGGAUAACGUCUGGAAACGGACGCUAAUACCGCAUAACAUCAUUAAAUCACAUGGUUUGAUGAUCAAAGGAGCAAUUCACUGAAAGAUGGACUCGCGUCCGAUUAGCUAGUUGGUGAGAUAAAGGCCCACCAAGGCGACGAUCGGUAGCCGGACUGAGAGGUUGAACGGCCACAUUGGGACUGAGACACGGCCCAGACUCCUACGGGAGGCAGCAGUGGGGGAUAUUGCACAAUGGAGGAAACUCUGAUGCAGCAACGCCGCGUGAGGGAAGAAGGUUUUCGGAUUGUAAACCUCUGUCCUUGGUGACGAUAAUGACGGUAGCCAAGGAGGAAGCUCCGGCUAACUACGUG
rnacentral:rRNA from 1 species